rnacentral:lncRNA from 1 species
GCGGGAGGAGAGGAAGCCUGCUUCGAAGCACUCAUCCCCAUCCCUAAAAGAAGAGCUCAGCUCAGCCCCUUAGCCAGCAUGUCUGCAAAGGAGAGGCAAAAAGGCAAAGUGACCAAGGACAGCGUCACUCUAUUGCCCUGCUUUUAUUUUGUGGAGAAUACAGGCUGCUUUUAUGGGAAUUAUUUCCGAGAGAGUCAUUUUGCAAAUGGACUGGCAGCUAAAUGAAACCAUGUCACAGACAUAGGAUCAUCUCAACAGGAAGACAUGUUUCAGAGAGGAGGUUAUAUGCAAACACAUAUUGCAUGUAUUAUGUCCAUGAAAGAAAAGUCAUGUUGUAGAAGGAAUGUUAAAAAAAUGAAUAUGGUUUAAAGUUGUUAAAUAAUCAGUAUUGUGUUUUUAUCAGGUCCCAGUAACGUGCCUGGACUGUAAGAGAGAGAUAGGUAACAACACAUGCUUUGUAUCUUGAAAAAGUGAAAGAGUUUCUCAGUAGAUUUUGUAUGGAAAGAUUGAAACAUGUCAUGGCUGCUCUGUUGAUGCCAGGUGAAGUUACACUUCCACAGGCACUCACUGCUCCAGAACUGGUGUAUUGCUUAGAGGAUUUUAGCCUCUUUUGACAGCACUCCAUUCACUAGUAAGUAAGUACAAGAGCAAACAUGGUUUCAGCUUCAGGAAAUGAGUUUGUCAUUUCUGUGUUUGUUAACCGAAUAGUAAGUGAGCACAGCUUGCUUCUGAUGACUCCACUUACAGUAGGGCAGUUACUGAGUCACUCGGCCUAUGUGCCUUAGUUUCCCCAUCUGUAACACAAGGAUGGUGGCACUGGCCUCAUGGAGGUGUGCUGAAGAUAAUGCACGAAAAGAACUUUGAAGGUUAAAAACAGGAGGUCUAUGUAAGAGCUCAACAUAAUUUUUAGCCUGAACGGCAAUAUUAAAAAUCUUGCUUAAAUAUCCUGGGAGAUAGGAGGAUACAGUGUGAGAGGGGCUUGUAAGUGGUGGCAGGCUGUCUCUCUUCCACCUAAAUUCCCUACUAGUUGCCUGGGACAAGGGAGAUGAAGCAUAUUAAAAAUAAUAUUGGGUGGGAUACUUUUCAGAGAAUGUUAGAUACUAAAGUAACAGACCUGUCUUAUUAUUGUGGAUUAGGCCCACUUGGUGAAAUGUACCCAUUGAUGGAAGGCUCCUUCUGGGCCACAUAAUUCCUGUGGUAUUCUUGUCAGAGAAAAGAGGUCAUG